rnacentral:rRNA from 1 species
CGCGGUAACACCGGCAGCCCGAGUGGUGAUCACUAUUAUUGGGUCUAAAGGGUCCGUAGCCGGUUUAAUCAGUCUUCUGGGAAAUCUAAUCGCUUAACUAUUAGGCUUCCAGGGGAUACUGUUAGACUUGGGACCGGGAGAGGUAAGAGGUACUGCAGGGGUAGGAGUGAAAUCUUGUAAUCCCUGUGAGACCACCAGUGGCGAAGGCGUCUUACCAGAACGGGUCCGACGGUGAGGGACGAAAGCUGGGGGCACGAACCGGAUUAGAUACCCGGGUAGUCCCAGCUGUAAACGAUGCUCGUUAGGUGUCAGGAACGGUGCGACUGUUUCUGGUGCCGAAGGGAAGCCGUGAAACGAGCCACCUGGGAAGUACGGCCGCAAGGCUGAAACUUAAAGGAAUUGGCGGGGGAGCACUACAACGGGUGGAGCCUGCGGUUUAAUUGGACUCAACGCCGGAAAACUCACCGGGGGCGACAGCAAUAUGUAGGUCAGGUUAAAGGUCUUACCUGAAUCGCUGAGAGGAGGUGCAUGGCCGUCGUCAGUUCGUACUGUGAAGCAUCCUGUUAAGUCAGGCAACGAGCAAGACCCGUGCCCACUGUUACCAGCAUAUCCUUUAUGGAUGAUGGGGACUCUGUGGGGACCGCUGCUGCUAAGGCAGAGGAAGGUGCGGGCUACGGUAGGUCAGUAUGCCCCGAAUCUCCCGGGCUACACGCGGGCUACAAUGGUUGGGACAAUGGGUAUCUACUCCGAAAGGAGUUGGCAAUCUCUUAAACCCAAUCGUAGUUCGAAUUGAGGGCUGUAACUCGCCCUCAUGAAGCUGGAAUCCGUAGUAAUCGCGUUUCAACAUAGCGCGGU